ACACACACACACACACACACACACACAAACGUGUAUACUCCUUUUUAUGUUGCGUUAAACAUUUAAGUGUGUGUGUGUGUGUGUGUAGCGCUGGUGGAGGUGUAUCUCUCCUGUGAUUUGCUCUUUGUGGGGGAGAAUGGUUGGGGGAGAGGAGCCUGCACUGCUACACCUACUGAACACCUGCCACGAAUGGGCCAAUGGGUCUGCAGACGGUCUGUUAGCUGUUCCCUCGGCUCCUGCUCCGCUCCUGGCUGUGUGUUUAUACACUACGUUCCAAAAGCAGGGUGGUGACACUAAGCAUAUUACAGCAAACCUUCCACUAUCUGACCACAACCGAGAGGUGCUGGUUUACCUGCUGUUCUUCUAUUUAACAGACUUCCUCUCAGCGCACCUGAAACCCCAGGUUGAUAAGGUUUUGAAUCACUCCAAAGAUGUCAGCGUCCACCUUUUGACCCUGUUGGUAGAUUAUUUUGAUUGGCUUUCACUUUUCCACCAAUCACAAUCUGAGCACAUCAUCUACCGCUGCAUCGCCAAGCUGACCCCGGAUACACUCCUCCGACUGAUGCCUUUUGCCCUUUUCAGAUUCUGUGUAAAGGUCAGAAGAUCUUGCUAAAGAGCAUCAGUCUGAGUCGCCCUGGCGCUCUCUCUCACAGCCAGCAGAGCCAGGUACACACACCUGACACACCCCAGUCCCAGCUCCAUACACUCCACACAAGAAAUCUCAUCUGCACAAGUUAUUAGUUAAUUAGUUAUUAGCAC
rnacentral:lncRNA from 1 species